UACGAAGGGGGCUAGCGUUGCUCGGAAUCACUGGGCGUAAAGGGUGCGUAGGCGGGUCUUUAAGUCAGGGGUGAAAUCCUGGAGCUCAACUCCAGAACUGCCUUUGAUACUGAAGAUCUUGAGUUCGGGAGAGGUGAGUGGAACUGCGAGUGUAGAGGUGAAAUUCGUAGAUAUUCGCAAGAACACCAGUGGCGAAGGCGGCUCACUGGCCCGGUACUGACGCUGAGGUGCGAAAGCGUGGGGAGCAAACAGG
rnacentral:rRNA from 1 species